rnacentral:rRNA from 1 species
ACCGGCGAACGGGUGCGUAACGCGUAUGCAACUUGCCCUUAUCGAGAGGAUAGCCCAGAGAAAUUUGGAUUAAUACUCUAUAACAUAUGAUAUUGCAUAGUAUUGUAUUAAAAGAUUUAUCGGAUAAGGAUAGGCAUGCGUCAGAUUAGUUAGUUGGUGAGGUAACGGCUCACCAAGGCGAUGAUCUGUAGGGGGCCUGAGAGGGUGAUCCCCCACACUGGUACUGAGACACGGACCAGACUCCUACGGGAGGCAGCAGUGAGGAAUAUUGGUCAAUGGGCGAGAGCCUGAACCAGCCAAGUCGCGUGAAGGAUGACUGCCCUCUGGGUUGUAAACUUCUUUUGUAUAGGAAUAACGGAUACCACGUGUGGUGUUGUGUAUGUACUAUACGAAUAAGGAUCGGCUAACUCCGUGCCAGCAGCCGCGGUAAUACGGAGGAUCCAAGCGUUAUCCGGAUUUAUUGGGUUUAAAGGGUGCGUAGGUGGACUUAUAAGUCAGCGGUGAAAGUUUGUAGCUCAACUAUAAAAUUGCCGUUGAAACUGUAGGUCCUGAGUUCAAGUGAGGUUGGCGGAAUGUGUCAUGUAGCGGUGAAAUGCUUAGAUAUGACCCAGAACUCCGAUUGCGUAGGCAGCUGACUGGUAUGCGACUGACACUGAUGCACGAAAGCGUGGGUAUCAAACAGGAUUAGAUACCCUGGUAGUCCACGCCGUAAACGAUGAAUACUAACUGUUUGCGAUAUACAGUAAGCGGUACAGCGAAAGCGUUAAGUAUUCCACCUGGGGAGUACGUUGGCAACAAUGAAACUCAAAGGAAUUGACGGGGGCCCGCACAAGCGGAGGAACAUGUGGUUUAAUUCGAUGAUACGCGAGGAACCUUACCCGGGUUUGAAAUGUAGAGGACCGGAGUGGAGACACUUCUUUCAGCAAUGACUUCUAUGUAGGUGCUGCAUGGUUGUCGUCAGCUCGUGCCGUGAGGUGUCGGCUUAAGUGCCAUAACGAGCGCAGCCCUUGUCAAUAGUUACUAUCAGGUAAUGCUGAGGACUCUAUUGAGACUGCCAUCGUAAGAUGCGAGGAAGGUGGGGAUGACGUCAAAUCAGCACGGCCCUUACGUCCGGGGCGACACACGUGUUACAAUGGGGAGUACAGAGGGCAGCUACUCCGCGAGGAGGUGCGAAUCUCGAAAGCCGAUCUCAGUUCGGAUUGGAGUCUGCAACUCGACUCUAUGAAGCUGGAAUCGCUAGUAAUCGCAUAUCAGCCAUGAUGCGGUGAAUACGUUCCCGGGCCUUGUACACACCGCCCGUCAAGCCAUGGAAGCUGGGGGUACCUGAAGUUGGUGACCGUAACAGGAGCUACCUAGGGUAAAACUAGUAACUGGGGCUAAGUCGUAACAAGGUAGCC